rnacentral:rRNA from 1 species
UACAGAGGUCUCAAGCGUUGUUCGGAUUCAUUGGGCGUAAAGGGUGCGUAGGUGGCGGGGCAAGUUUGGUGUGAAAUCCCGGGGCUCAACCCCGGAACUGCACUGAAUACUGCCUUGCUUGAGCACUGGAGAGGGAACUGGAAUUUACGGUGUAGCAGUGAAAUGCGUAGAUAUCGUAAGGAAGACCAGUGGCGAAGGCGAGUUCCUGGACAGUUGCUGACACUGAGGCACGAAGGCUAGGGGAGCAAAGCGGG